AUUGAACGCUGGCGGCAUGCCUUACACAUGCAAGUCGAACGGUAACGGGCCUUCGGGUGCCGACGAGUGGCGAACGGGUGAGUAAUACAUCGGAACGUGCCCGAUCGUGGGGGAUAACGAGGCGAAAGCUUUGCUAAUACCGCAUACGAUCUACGGCUGAAAGCAGGGGACCGCAAGGCCUUGCGCGGACGGAGCGGCCGAUGGCAGAUUAGGUAGUUGGUGGGAUAAAAGCUUACCAAGCCGACGAUCUGUAGCUGGUCUGAGAGGAUGAUCAGCCACACUGGGACUGAGACACGGCCCAGACUCCUACGGGAGGCAGCAGUGGGGAAUUUUGGACAAUGGGCGCAAGCCUGAUCCAGCCAUGCCGCGUGCAGGAUGAAGGCCUUCGGGUUGUAAAGUGCUUUUGUACGGAACGAAAAGCCUUCUUUUAAUACAGGAGGGUCAUGACGGUACCGUAAGAAUAAGCACCGGCUAACUACGUG
rnacentral:rRNA from 1 species